rnacentral:lncRNA from 1 species
AGCCGGCGCCCAGAGAGCAAUGCUCGACCAGGGACCUUUACUCCGGCAACCACAAAUCACUAAGCCCAGAGAGCGAUGCUCGACCAGGGCAGGUCCUAAUCUUUCUUUCUCAAAAUUUUUACCUCUUUACCCUUUUCCUAUCUCUCUCAUAUUAUAUUGGAACACUCAUCCAACUCCUAUGUUCUACUGCCGUCCCAUCCUGAGUCAUCAUGCAAUAUUAAAAUUGGUGAUAAAGGAAAAACAUAUUCAAAUAAUACUUAAAAGCAUCAUGAAAAUAAUGAUAAUAAUUAAAUGAAAAAUUAAAAUUGCAAAUGAACAAUCACGGUAGCAAAUCAAAUUUUAUGCAUGACACGUGCAUAAGCGAUAUAUGACUUUAACUCACAGGUUUGGCGACCUCCUAGCUCUGCUCCGGUGCCUCGGUUGGAGCGAGCCGAACGAACUGACAAU